rnacentral:lncRNA from 1 species
CCAACCUCGUCGCUAGCCGGCACCCUAUUCUCCUUUGCUUCCACCGAACAUCUCUUGUAUGGUUUGAAGCCUGUUUUGCGUGAUUUAAGCUUCAGGUGUGACAGUUCAUUGGGGAAGGAAGUUCUUGGCUCAUCCAUCAUGUCAAGAUCAUGAUCAAUUGUUGUGGCGUUCUUGUUGAGGUCAACCGUCACUGUGGUCACUUCAUCUUCCUCCUCCUUGGCAACCUCCUUUGAUUCUUCUGCCUGUGGGGGAGAAAAGCUUUGUGGAAGCUUUUCUCUACUGAACAGCGCAUCGAAAGCCAUACGACCCUGUCAACAAAAAUGUGAAUUAGAAAAAUGAUGGAUGCUCAAAUAUUUAGAUAGAAGUGAUUUUGCAUAUUGUUGGUAGGCUACAACCUCUUCAGAAACUUCCUUCCAUGAAUCACUUGUGCUUCCACUGCUUCUAAAUUUGCGGUGGUUAGUGUCACCGGCUGAAGAGUUACUGCAGGAGGCUUGCUUUGCCUUGUCAUUGGCCUUAUCUUCUUUCUCAGGAACAUUUCCUGCCUCUACAUCGCUACUUGAAGGUGUGUUGGAGCCACAUGAAGAGCGAUCCUGCUUUUUCUUAUUCCUGAAUGCAUCACUAAUGUCAGCUCCUGUAGUAGGUGCAGCAUCAGUAUUCUGGACAGGAGAUAUCUUUAACUCAGUAUGGAGAGACAUGUCGCCUUUUCUAGUCCCAUCAGACUCUGAAGACACAGCAACUCUCAAAGCUUCAGACUGGCCUUGUUUCUGAGCCUCUUGGCAUCCCUUCUGUGCAUUUUCAACUGGGGAAUCUCUGUCUUUGUCUAAAGGUCGUGGAACAUCUGCUGUGGGAAAGGCAGCACUAGGAGCUGGUACAAAUGGAAAAGCCAUGGGGGGAGUGAAAAAAGGGAGAAGACCUUGUGUUGCCCACCAUGCAGAUGCUGCAGCAACUGUAGCUGCUACAAUAGAAGCCAUGCUUGGAGGAGAGCCUAAGUUCCUUCCUUGAACACCCUCUGCAGGAUUUUCUUGAGUUGGAUCAACAGGAGUGUUACCUUCUGCUGCUGGCCAGUACGAUGCUGCGAGCCUAGCGGCUGCAUGGAUGGCAGGGUUUGACAACAAUGUGGAAACAAGCAUGCUGGAGAAAGUGGAUGACAUGUUGACGAAUGUUCUGUAGGUAUCUUGGUUGCAGUUGCACUGCAUCAUCGGAGCAAAGGCAGCAUAGUUAUGAGGAAAAGGUUGUGGUGUGGCACUGCUAUCAAAUUUUGGAUCCG